AGUCGAACGCGAAAGUUUCCUUCGGGAGAUGAGUAGAGUGGCGCACGGGUGAGUAACACGUAGGUAAUCUACCUUCGGGUGGGGAAUAACCCAGGGAAACUUGGGCUAACACCGCAUAAUGCAGCGGCACCACAUGGUGACAGUUGUUAAAGCGGGGGAUUUUCGGACCUCGCGCCUGAAGAGGAGCCUGCGGCAGAUUAGCUAGUUGGUAAGGUAACGGCUUACCAAGGCGACGAUCUGUAGCCGGCCUGAGAGGGCGGUCGGCCACACUGACACUGACAUACGGGUCAGACUCCUACGGGAGGCAGCAGUCGGGAAUUUUGGGCAAUGGGCGAAAGCCUGACCCAGCAACGCCGCGUGAAGGAUGAAAUCCCUCGGGAUGUAAACUUCGCAAGAAUGGGAAGAAUUAGUAGGGGUUAAUACCCCCUAUGAUGACGGUACCAUUUGUAAGCUCCGGCUAACUCCGUGCCAGCAGCCGCGGUAAUACGGGGGGAGCAAGCGUUGUUCGGAUUUACUGGGCGUAAAGGGCGCGUAGGCGGUCAGCACAAGUCAGUUGUGAAAUCUCCGGGCUUAACUCGGAAAGGUCAACUGAUACUGUGCGACUAGAGUGCAGAAGGGGCAACUGGAAUUCUCGGUGUAGCGGUGAAAUGCGUAGAUUUCGAGAGGAACACCUGCGGCGAAGCGGGUUGCUGGGCUGACACUGACGCUGAUGCGCGAAAGCCAGGGGAGCGAACGGGAUUAGAUACCCCGGUAGUCCUGGCCUUAAACGAUGGAUGCUUGGUGUCUGGAGUUUUAUAGUCUCCG
rnacentral:rRNA from 1 species